rnacentral:lncRNA from 1 species
CACAUAACGAUACAUAUGUUCAGUCUGUUUAAUCACCUUUAUUUCAUUUUUUACUAACAUCGCUUUUUCCUGCUCUGAAAAGGUUUGACUUGGAGUCAUGGGGCAGUGAUGAGAAUGAUAACAUUACAGGUACAUUUGAUUCAUGUUUUACAUGAAUAACCGUCACAAGGACAGGAUAAUUAACUUGUAUUAGUUAUCAGUCAUGUAGAAAAACACAAAUUUAACUUAUGAUGAUUUUCAGUCAUGUGGCGUCAAAGUAUAAUAAAACAAACCAGAGAAGUUGUUGGUUCCAGUUCUGGUUUUGCUUCCUUUGCACUUAAAUUGCUAGCAUAAGUUAUGAGGCGGCUUGCUUGUGUUUUCAGGUGAGCAGAGUGAACCUUCUUUGUGGGAUUCCAGGAAUUCUUUGCACUCUCAUCUCUUCCCCCCUGACCUGGUCAAGCUGCCUGCAGUCUCUUCACACCAACCCAAUCUUAGUGCUCCCAGGAUACCCUCCCGUUCCCCGUCCUCAAGCCCCCCCAUCUCACCAAAGCAAAGGAAAGCCAGUCUAGCUGACGAUAUUACGUUAGUCGGAGGAAACCAAACAGGGAUUUUCGUCAGCCAUGUGAGAGCUGGCUCCCCAGCUGAACUAUGUGGACUGAAGGAGGGCAGUGAGCUCCUGGAGCUGGAGCGGGUUCUGUUUGGUGGGGACAGUGUGCUGCUGAGCCAGUGCACUGCUGAGGUAGCCCACUUUUCACUGCAGUGGUGGUCUGAGCCUUCAACACUCAAACACCAGAGCAACCCAGAGGGUGAGUCCGUUUUUCUCAGAGAUUUUCAAAAUGAAUAUAAAACAGUCAUACGGUAU